rnacentral:rRNA from 1 species
CCUACGGGGGGCUGCAGUGGGGAAUUUUGGACAAUGGGCGAAAGCCUGAUCCAGCCAUGCCGCGUGAGUGAAGAAGGCCUUCGGGUUGUAAAGCUCUUUCGCAAGGGAAGAAAACUUAGCUACUAAUACUAGUUGAGGAUGACGGUACCUUGAUAAGAAGCACCGGCUAACUACGUGCCAGCAGCCGCGGUGAUACGUAGGGUGCGAGCGUUAAUCGGAAUUACUGGACGUAAAGCUGUAGCUGGGGGGUGAAAGCCCCGGGCUCAACCUGGGAACUGCGUUUGAAACUACAAGGCUAGAGUGUAGAAGAGGGGGGUAGAAUUCCACGUGUAGCAGUGAAAUGCGUAGAGAUAUGGAGGAAUACCGAUGGCGAAGGCAGCCCCCUGGGCUAACACUGACGCUCAUGCACGAAAGCGUGGGGAGCAAACAGGAUUAGAUACCCGUGUAGUC